rnacentral:rRNA from 1 species
ACGCUCGACACCUACGGGAGGCGGCAGUGGGGAAUAUUGCACAAUGGGGGAAACCCUGAUGCAGCGACGCCGCGUGAGCGAAGAAGUAUUUCGGUAUGUAAAGCUCUAUCAGCAGGGAAGAAAAUGACGGUACCUGACUAAGAAGCCCCGGCUAAAUACGUGACAGCAGCCGCGGUAAUCUGAGGCGGGCUGGCAAGGC